rfam:Dipodomys ordii contig_6434, whole genome shotgun sequence.
GGUGGCUCAGUGGUAGAGAGCUUGCCUUGCAUGCAUGAGGUCCUGGGUUCGAUUCCUCAGCACCA